rnacentral:ncRNA from 1 species
UGACUGCGACACCGACGGGUGGAGCAGGUACGAAAGUAGGACUUAGUGAUCCGGUGGCAUAAUGUGGGAUUGCCAUCGCUCAACGGAUAAAAGCUACCCUGGGGAUAACAGGCUUAUCAUUCCCAAGAGUUCACAUCGACGGAGUGGUUUGGCACCUCGAUGUCGGCUCAUCGCAUCCUGGAGCUGGAGCAGGUUCCAAGGGUUGGGCUGUUCGCCCAUUAAAGCGGUACGCGAGCUGGGUUCAGAACGUCGUGAGACAGUUCGGUCCCUAUCCGGCGCGGGCGCAGGAGAUCUGAGAGGGGCUGUCCUUAGUACGAGAGGACCGGGAUGGACCGUCCGCUGGUGGACCAGUUGUCAUGCCAAUGGCACGGCUGGGUAGCCAAGACGGGAUGGGAUAAACGCUGAAGGCAUCUAAGCGUGAAGCCCGCCUCGAGAUGAGAUCUCCUAGCAGAAAUGUGAGAGACCCCUUAGAGACGAUGAGGUAGAUAGGGCAGGGGUGGAAGUACAGCGAUGUAUGGAGCUGACUGCUACUAAUCGGUCGAAAGCUUGACCUC